rnacentral:rRNA from 1 species
GGGAGCAAUCCUGGUGGCGAGUGGCGAACGGGUGAGUAAUAUAUCGGAACGUGCCCAGUCGUGGGGGAUAACGUAGCGAAAGCUACGCUAAUACCGCAUACGAUCUAUGGAUGAAAGCGGGGGAUCGCAAGACCUCGCGCGAUUGGAGCGGCCGAUAUCAGAUUAGGUAGUUGGUGGGGUAAAGGCCUACCAAGCCGACGAUCCUUAGCUGGUCUGAGAGGAUGAUCAGCCACACUGGUACUGAGACACGGACCAGACUCCUACGGGAGGCAGCAGUGAGGAAUAUUGGACAAUGGGCGCAAGCCUGAUCCAGCAAUGCCGCGUGAGUGAUGAAGGCCUUAGGGUUGUAAAGCUCUUUUACCCGGGAUGAUAAUGACAGUACCGGGAGAAUAAGCUCCGGCUAACUCCGUG